UAAGAGUGUGUCUCCCAGUUCCUGUCCCCAAAGACGAGAGGAUUGUAAGAGGUGAACCUUCUGGGGAAACUUCCAGUGGGUCUGCUUUGAUCUUCCAACAAUUUGCAUCUAGUGACUCCUGAAAUCAGAGGUUGUGUCUUGUUUAGCAGCCCUCACAAUACCUCCUCCAUAUGUUUGUUCAGUUGAUUUGAUGCUCAUGAAGUGCCAGCUGAAUACGAGGAGGAAUUUCUUUACUGUGUGAGUGACUCAGUACUCACACAGUAGACUGUGAAGAGGUUGUCCAGGGAAGCUGUCAAGUCUCCCUCACUGGAGAUAUUCCAGAACCACCAGGAUACAUUCCUGUGCCAUGUGAUCUGGAAUGGCCCUGCUUAAGCAGGGAGGUUGGACCAGAUGCUCCACUGUGGUCCCUUCCAACUUUGUCCUUUCUGUGAUUUUUAUGAUUUCUGUGAUUUCUGUGACCUACUGCUUGUAAACUUGUAGCAUCCAUAUCAUCCUGUGGCAGGGAGUCCCACAGUGUCGCUGUGUGUAUGAACGGCCACUUUCCUUGUUUUCAACCUGACAUUCUGUGACACCAUGUGAUGACCUUACCCUGCUUCUUGCUUGGGAAAGGACAGUACAUCAAGUUUAUCUUCUCUAUGCCAGUCACCACUUCAGAGCCUCCAUGAAAUGCCCUUGCAGUCUGGGCUUUCAGUUCCGUGUGCUUGAAAUGUGACUCACAGAAUCGCCACUCCCCAGCCCUGCCCGAUUACACUGCUCUGGGAUGCGCUCACCAGCCAGAUCUGAUACCGGGCACACAGCAGGAAGACGAGAGAGAAGGGCACUUCCAAGAGACACUUCUGCUUCAGGACAGUGCUGCUAGAAGGCAUGUUCCCUCCUACACCUUGUGCAGGCUCUUCAUCCUUCUCCUGGCCUACCUGCAGUGGUUUGGUUGGAAGUUUAUUCUGUGUAGUGGCAGUAGAGAGCUUCGAGAGACCUGCCCUCAGCAAAUAUGCUGGCUGUGUUAUUCAUUGAGCUGUAGCUUGGAUCACCCUGGUAACACAGCUCUGCCAUCAUAAGGCAGCUGGGAGCACUUUGGUAAUUCUGUAAUCACAAAUGUCAGACUAGGUCAGUAGUCAACACUGAAAACUUAUUGCAUGCUAUUAUUAAAAUUAUACCUAAUACCAUGUUUUCAUGUGAUUCUGUCAAGUCCAUAUCAGUGGCUCAUGGGGCACAGUAAGGAAACCACAGGCCAAAAUACUUCAACUGUAGCUAACUUAAGGUACCAUUAAAGAGACUCUGUCUAAGUCUCCUCACCUUUUUGUGUGUGAAUCAAUUUUCGGUGGUAGAGCACGGACAGUGAUAUAUAUUAGAUACGCAAUGCAAGAGCCAAGUGUUCAUAGGUAUUACACACCCACUGACUUAAAGCACCAAUUUAAAAGGACUGGGAAAUAACCUGAAAACAAGCACAGUGCUAGACCCAUUUUAAAGUGAUUAUCUUAGGUAAUUUUCUUUAUGAAAAAUGGCACCAAGCUUGGGUUUCUCACAUAUGAGAAAAAAAGCAUUAUUGGUGAAGAACUGGUAGGCAGAUGUUUCUAAGGUCUCUAAAGCAGAAAGCACAAGCACAGUUUUCUGCAAAUCUGGGACAGAAUUUCAUACUUGCUUAUUACUCUUUAGAUAUUUUUUCACAAAAUAAUACUGAUUUAUAUAUAACCAGGGAUGUUAAUAUGGCUCUUCAUAAAUUUUUUUUGCACUUGGGGGAAAAGAUAAUAGGGGAGUGUUUGAGAAAAUACCUGUUCUGAGCCUGUUAGUUAAGAUAGUAGGUAAACAGCACUGUAAUUAAAGGACUCAAACACUUUUGAAGUUGGUGAGGAAAUAUGUGACAAAUAUCAUCAAGAAUGUAGUUCAAAGGCUAAAGUUCAUAACUCUAAGACACACAGGGGAAGCCUAAUUCUGAUCCUAUGCUAGUUGGGUACCUGGCUUCAGCUGAAUCAAACUUUCUCUGCUGUCACAUGUCCACACUGGGCAACUUUUCUUGCUUUAUCUGGGAUGCUGAGAAAACGUGACCCAUGGGUUCAGGGCAAAGAAGUCUGAAACAGGUGAUAAAAAGGGCCAUGAAAGAUGAGAAGGUCAAAAAGGUGACCAGGAAGAAGUUUACGAGGAAAAAAAAAAAACAAGCUCUGUAGUGCCAUCAGAGCUUUUGCUUUUGUUCUUGUCUCCUUGAUACCUUCUUCCCCUUUCCUUUUCCCUUUGAGCUUCACAAAAACUGUUCCAGUUUGACCAGUUAAAUGAUGCUGAAUAUGGUUUGUCAGUGUUUGUGUUUGUAAUUAAAUCACACUGAAUUCUUAGCUACACUUAUAGUUUAUGUUGUUGGCUGGUUGCGUUUUUAAAAUUUAUUUGUGUUCACAAAUACAGGUUAAAAAAAAGGAGUAGCAUAAGUAGUUAUGCAGAAUCAAGGUCUGCUGUUGUUGGAAUUCUGGAUUGUCUGGAAGAUUUCUCCAAGACAGCUGGCUGGGAAGAUUGAGACACAGGCGAACGCUUGUGGUGGGAUCCCAAGGGCUCCACUUACAUUUUCCAUGUAAGGGCAGCAGUGUCUGCACAAGACCUCUGGACUUUUGUAACAGUGGUCAUCCUGCUUAGUGCCUUUGCCAGGAUUACAGACUGAUCAGAUGUCUGUGCCUGCAUCUUCCAGCUCUGCUGGAAGAGGCCUUGCUGAAGGAAUCGUUUCCCAGUAAGAAUCAGUAAGAUGAGCGGAUUAUCCACUGUAAAUUAAACCAUCCUUUUUGUCAAAAGUCAGUUUGUCUGUGUGUUUUGAUGAAAACAUUGCUGUAGCCAGUGUAAGCAAGAAUGCAUUGCUGCUGUUUCUGAGGCAAUUAUACUGAAAUUAAAGAAAACAUCAAUUUUCAGGGCCUUUACAACACUAAAGUGAUUAGAAAAAAAUUAAACUAAUUGAAUUUUAGUGUGCUGCUCUUGGACAGGUUUUUUCACUUACCACUGCUGAUACAUGUCCUUUCCCCUUGAGAAUACAGACUAUUGGCUUUCUGAGUAUCUAAGAAACAGUCUAAAGCAUAAUUCACCAAGCCUCAGUCUCCAGAAUGCAAUGGUAGUUCCCCAAGAAUAAAACCACCACCAACUGUACAAAUAAAUUUGUACUUAAUGGCUAUGCAAUAAGGAGUCUAAAAUAAAAAAGAUAGUAUGAAAAGAAAUUAAGGACUUGAGAGAAAAAAAUCCCAGCAACAUUGUUAUUUAUGUAAGAUGAAACAAGUAUAGUGGCUAGUUUUAACACAAGAUAACUUUAAUGUGUUAGUGGAUUCGUGAGAACAACUGACUGCAUUAAUGCUUUUAAUGCUAUGUAGAGUAUUGGGAUGACUUAGCAUUAUGUGUGUUUGAAAGACACACCCCGAGGAACCUGUAACUUUGAAGUUGGACUUGCUCUGAGAGGAGAUAUGAACCAUGUAAUUUCCAUAGGUCCCUUCCAGCCUUAAUGGUUUUAUGACUGUAAAGCAUUAUUGAAACUAAGCUGCUCUUAUUAAAAUAUUUGCCUUGUUAGUGGCUGACAGCAUUGUGUAAUGAUAAGAGCAAUGGAGACAUGAUGUUAAGCUAUAAAAAGUCAUAAUCAGUAAAGUAUGAAGGCAUAAACAAACUGCACUUUAUAAAUGUGUGUGUGCAAUUUAUGCAAUGCAGAGAAACAGUUUAAGUGUGAGAUGUUUUGUAAGAUCCUUAAAUGUAUAUUACUUGUCUUGCUCCUAUUAAUGCAAAGAUACUGCAUAUAUGGCAGUAAAUAAACCUGAGCAGUUUUUUUACUUUGUAUAACUUUAUUGCUUUUAUAUUGCUGUUUACUGUGCAAGCUUAUAGUAUUUCCUAUUGUAACUUAAACCAUGUUCAAAUGAGCUAUUUGAAAAGUUUAAUUAAUAAGUAAACUGGCUGUUCUUACCUGUGUACAAAAACACCCAGAACAGAGGAGUUUAUCUCUAAAGAUUUAGACUUUUAUUUAUGUUUUUUCCAGACAACAUGACCAGUAAUUGCUGUUAAAUGUGGUUUCUAAAUAGUCUUCAACAAAGAUACCAUUAUUAAAGUAAUGUAUUUAGUAGAAAA